GAUGAACGCUGGCGGCGUGCUUAACACAUGCAAGUCGAACGGGAUCCAGCCAGCUUGCUGCCUGGUGAGAGUGGCGAACGGGUGAGUAAUGCGUGACCGACCUGCCCCAUACACCGGAAUAGCUCCUGGAAAUGGGUGGUAAUGCCGGAUGCUCCGACUCCUCGCAUGGGGUGUCGGGAAAGAUUUCAUCGGUAUGGGAUGGGGUCGCGUCCUAUCAGGUAGUCGGCGGGGUAACGGCCCACCGAGCCUACGACGGGUAGCCGGCCUGAGAGGGCGACCGGCCACAUUGGGACUGAGAUACGGCCCAGACUCCUACGGGAGGCAGCAGUGGGGAAUAUUGCACAAUGGGCGCAAGCCUGAUGCAGCGACGCCGCGUGCGGGAUGACGGCCUUCGGGUUGUAAACCGCUUUUGAUCGGGAGCAAGCCUUCGGGUGAGUGUACC
rnacentral:rRNA from 1 species